AGGAGAUAUGAUGAUGAAUAUCCCAUUGUUCCAUCACUGAAUUCAACUUUGAUGACAAAUCAACCAAAUUACAUGCACUACCAUCUGAUCUCUU